rnacentral:rRNA from 1 species
AACGAACGCUGGCGGCAGGCUUAACACAUGCAAGUCGAGCGCCCCGCAAGGGGAGCGGCAGACGGGUGAGUAGCGCGUGGGAAUCUACCCAUCUCUACGGAAUAACGCAUGGAAACGUGUGCUAAUACCGUACACGUCCUUCGGGAGAAAGAUUUAUCGGAGAUGGAUGAGCCCGCGUUGGAUUAGCUAGUUGGUGGGGUAAAGGCCUACCAAGGCGACGAUCCAUAGCUGGUCUGAGAGGAUGAUCAGCCACACUGGGACUGAGACACGGCCCAGACUCCUACGGGAGGCAGCAGUGGGGAAUAUUGGACAAUGGGCGCAAGCCUGAUCCAGCCAUGCCGCGUGAGUGAUGAAGGCCCUAGGGUUGUAAAGCUCUUUCACCGGUGAAGAUAAUGACGGUAACCGGAGAAGAAGCCCCGGCUAACUUCGUGCCAGCCGCCGCCGUAAAAC